GGGGUUGUGGCUUAGUGGUAGAGCACUUGUCUAGCAUGUGUGAGGCAUUGGGUUCGAUUCCCAACACCA
rnacentral:tRNA from 1 species